CAACAACUAACUGAGUGAAAACAGGGGGAACAGCAUUUGAGCGUUGUCAGAGAGAAACCUCUUCGCCGUGCCAUCGUUUGGUGCACAGAAACACACGAAUUAUGAAUCAGUGCUGAACUCCUGCUGAACUCUCUGCACCAGCACCAAGCCAGAGAGCUGCACCACAUGACAUCCAACACACACAUGCGCACCCUGUGACCUCUGCAGAGCUCCAAACAUACGAGGCAGUCUGCUGUGGAGUGCUGCGUCUGCUGGGUGAAUCAUUACGCUGUGCUGCACCUGGCUGCAUUUAGAGAGCAGAGAGGAUUUUGAUAAACUUGACGUCUGUUGGGAGGUGGCGGAGGACGCAGCCAGCCAAAGGGGAAAGAUAAAUACAAACUGGUGGUGCAGCGGUUAAACCUCCCGCCCUUUUUUGGCAGUCAAAGUGUGCGUGUGUGUGAGUGAGUGAGCAAGCGGGUAAAUAUUUAACCCUUGUGUCAACACCACACAUGUGUCACAACAGCAUUCCUGUGAGGCGCUUGUCUUGUGACAGAGCGGUUUCAUAACAGGAGCUGUGCUCUGAUCGCCCGCAUUCAUUGUUUUGCGGCUUUUGGAAGAAGCUUUGUGUGCCGGUGCAGAGUGACUCGUGUGGCAUGACGAGUUUCGUGUUCCUGCACGUUGGGCGUUAAUGAGCGCAGAGCUCUUCACAGUGAGCCGUUUCCUGAGACAAGGCUUUGAAGUGGAUGAGGGAGGUGAGACACCGUGCGCCCAGCUGCCCAGCCGCUGUGGUUAAGGGGUCUUUAUCACGCAGACAAGGGGGACAGCACUCAGCUCUUGCCCUUCUAUCUUUCACCGCGGCAGAAGAGUGAUUUUGACAACCAGCGCACCCCAGCUGCGCAGGGGCCAGGCCUGCGAAACCACAGGCGGAUAAUGAAUGCCACACCAUCGUGACAACUUGCACUUUUAUGGAAAGGGGAGGAAGGACACUUGUGCUCACAGCGUAUGAUGGGACGUCCCCCAUAAACCAGACAAUCAAAGCGAGGGCAGAUAAGCAUCUGUGGAAUCUGUGACGGGAACCUCCGCUGAUUUAUGGGCACUACUGGAAAAGGUUUGUUUCCAAGUGAACGUGUUUAGAGGUAACCAAAGAAGAAAUACAACUUUCCCAAUGCAACCACGGCAUCUGUAAAUGAUAAACCACAGUCGCAUUAUCCAUGAUCUUCCUUGCUUUCCUGAGCUGAACAAGCCACAUGCUAUUUAUGAAGAACUUCCUCCAAAAUGAGAAGACUUGAGGUUUUCCAAUUAGGUCAGAUUGCUAUUCUUGGUGACUCUCACAGUCGUGUUAUUUGUAUUCUGUACAUCAGAGGGAUAAUACAUC
ensembl:lncRNA